rnacentral:rRNA from 1 species
AAUGGGGGCAACCCUGACGCAGCAACGCCGCGUGAGUGAGGAAGGUUUUCGGACCGUAAAGCUCUGUCGAGCGGGAAGAAAUGCAUAAUGGCUAAUAUCCAUUAUGCUUGACGGUACCGCUAAAGGAAGCACCGGCUAACUCCGUGCCAGCAGCCGCGGUAAUACGGGGGGUGCGAGCGUUGUUCGGAAUCAUUGGGCGUAAAGAGCGUGUAGGCGGCUGGAUAAGUCAGAUGUGAAAGCCCUGGGCUUAACCCAGGAAGUGCAUUUGAAACUGUUCAGCUGGAGUAAGGGAGAGGAAAGUGGAAUUCCUGGUGUAGAGGUGAAAUUCGUAGAUAUCAGGAGGAACACCGGUGGCGAAGGCGACUUUCUGGCCCUAUACUGACGCUGAGACGCGAGAGCGUGGGUAGCAAA